UACGUAGGGUGCAAGCGUUGUCCGGAAUUAUUGGGCGUAAAGAGCUCGUAGGCGGUUCGUCGCGUCGGCUGUGAAAACCUGAGGCUCAACCUCAGGCCUGCAGUCGAUACGGGCGGACUUGAGUACUGCAGGGGAGACUGGAAUUCCUGGUGUAGCGGUGAAAUGCGCAGAUAUCAGGAGGAACACCGGUGGCGAAGGCGGGUCUCUGGGCAGUAACUGACGCUGGAGGAGCGAAAGCAUGGGGAGCGAACAGG
rnacentral:rRNA from 1 species